rnacentral:lncRNA from 1 species
GUUAAAAUCUUUUAAACACAAACAUUGGCUCAAAUUACUAUAUUUUUAACAUAUGUAUGCACAUCCCAGUUCAGCAUGAAAGAGUCAAAAGCAGACGUCACUGAGAUUAGUAAAAACCAUGUUUAAACAUCAUAUUUAGAUCAUACAUGGAGUACUGGAUGGCAUCGACAGCAGUAUUUGGAGGCAGGAACUCGUUAACAGCAACAUAAUUUAUUAUAUCGUAUAAUAAUGUACUGUAUUGGAUCAUACAUGGAGUACUGGAUGGCAUCGACAGCAGUAUUUGGAGGCAGGAACUCGUUAACAGCAACCUCCUUGUUCUCAAGCUUCUUAUCUAGUGACAGAUAAGAAAAUUAUACUUGUAAAAAGUUUAGUAGAAAAUUCAUAAGAGGAGCAAAUUAAAAGAUGGAGGGCA